rfam:Niastella vici strain DJ57 contig1, whole genome shotgun sequence.
AGCCGCAUAGUCCAACAGGAAGGAGACAGCAGUUUUAAAAUCUGAACAGUCCGGGUUCGAAUCCCGGUGCGGCUA